AAAUUGAAGAGUUUGAUCAUGGCUCAGAUUGAACGCUGGCGGCAGGCCUAACACAUGCAAGUCGAACGGUAACAGGAAGCAGCUUGCUGCUUUGCUGACGAGUGGCGGACGGGUGAGUAAUGUCUGGGAAACUGCCUGAUGGAGGGGGAUAACUACUGGAAACGGUGGCUAAUACCGCAUAACGUCGCAAGACCAAAGAGGGGGACCUUCGGGCCUCUUGCCAUCAGAUGUGCCCAGAUGGGAUUAGCUUGUUGGUGAGGUAACGGCUCACCAAGGCGACGAUCCCUAGCUGGUCUGAGAGGAUGACCAGCCACACUGGAACUGAGACACGGUCCAGACUCCUACGGGAGGCAGCAGUGGGG
rnacentral:rRNA from 4 species